ensembl:lncRNA
CACAGACAGGAGAACAGAUGCUGGAACUGUUAGCAUCAGUCUGCAUCAGCUCUUCUAAUUAUGAAUGGACUGACAUAUUUUAUGAUUGGGAUUUCCUGCUGGAUCUGUACUCUCAUGUGAAGAACUGUGAGACUCAAACAGGCAGGAGUUUUCUUCCAGCAUUACAGUCAGUUUUCCAGUCACCUGAUGUCUGGAUCAUAGAUCUCUCAGAGAGAAAGAGCUCGGUCCUCCUGGAAGUGCUGAAGCUCCAGACAGAGAAGAGAACAGUAAAUCUGAGAGGAUGUUCAGAGGAAGAGAGAGACAUGAAGAGUUUCCUUCAGUGUCUGCAACACAUCUCACAGCUGAGGUUCUGGGACAUUGAUGAAAAAGAAGAAAGGAUGUCUGCAGUCAGAUUCCUGCUGAAGCUCUGUGUUAAGAUUCCUGCUGAAGCUCUGUGUUGCUGUUGUAGAAACUGAUGAAGAAACACGAUUCUUGACUCUGCUGUCAUCUGUGUGCAGCUACAAAACCUUCCCUUUUGAUGAUUAUUAUGAUGCUGGUGUUCAGCGUGAUUUCCUGCUGGAUCUGUACUCACAUGUGAAGAACUGUGAGACUCAAACAGGCAGGAGUUUUCUUCCAGCAUUACAGUCAGUUUUCCAGUCACCUGAUGUCUGGAUCAUAGAUCUCUCAGAGAGAAAGAGCUCGGUCCUCCUGGAAGUGCUGAAGCUCCAGACAGAGAAGAGACCAGUAAAUCUGAUUGGAUGUUCAGAGGAAGAGAGAGACGUGAAGAGUUUCCUUCAGUGUCUGCAACACAUCUCACAGCUGAGGUGAGAACAUCUCUGGCAUCUUACAGUUAUUGUGAAAUAUGAUUUCUGUAUUAGCUGGGACAUGUUUUCUGGUCUUAAUGAGUGUCUUUAGGGGCUCUGUUUGUUGAGAUUAGGAAUUUGCACUUUUUGUUUGUGAACAUCUACGCUCCUAAUAUAGGAGAAGACGGAGUACAGUUUUUUAAUAAACUAGAGCACUUUUUAAAACA